rnacentral:lncRNA from 1 species
AGGGGAGAUGAAAACGAAAUCUCUGUCAUCUACUGAGAUUUUCUCUAGUUGAAAUCUUAUUUCCAUAUCUUGCCUGAAUGGCAGUGAUCAGAGCAGCUAGACAACAGCUCAGGCUGAAAGAGACACAGGCAAUUCUCAUUCUACUACUACCUGGAGCUACUAGCUAUGAAGACAAAAAAAUCAAGAUUGCAAGGAAAGCAAAUAUUUAAGUAUCCCACUGGACUAUUGGACUGCAGAGAAGUCUCCAUCCUGGAAGAUACUCAAAAGCUAUAUGGACAUGGUCCUGGGCAACCAGCUGUAGGUGAUGGUACUCAAGCAGAGGCUUUGGACAAACAUUCUAUUAUUCUGUGAACCUUCAAAACAUUCCAUAAAACAUGUAUUUCUGCCACCUACACUGUAAGUUUC